rnacentral:rRNA from 1 species
UACAGAGGUCCCAAGCGUUGUUCGGAUUCAUUGGGCGUAAAGGGUGCGUAGGCGGCGCGGUAAGUCGGAUGUGAAAUCUCGGGGCUUAACUCCGAAACUGCAUUCGAUACUGCCGUGCUUGAGGACUGGAGAGGAGACUGGAAUUUACGGUGUAGCGGUGAAAUGCGUAGAUAUCGUAAGGAAGACCAGUGGCGAAGGCGGGUCUCGUGGACAGUUCCUGACGCUGGAGGCACGAAGGCCAGGGGAGCAAACGGG